AACGAACGCUGGCGGCAUGCCUAACACAUGCAAGUCGAACGAGACCUUCGGGUCUAGUGGCGCACGGGUGCGUAACGCGUGGUAACCUGCCCUUAGGUUCGGAAUAACUCCCCGAAAGAUGUGCUAAUACAGCAUAAUCUCUUAGGACCAAAGAUUUAUCGCCUUUGGGUGGGCCCGCGUUGGAUUAGCUAGUUGGUAGGGUAAAAGCCUACCAAGGCGACGAUCCAUAGCUGGUCGGAGAGGAUGAUCAGCCACACUGGGGCUGCGACACGGCCCAGACUCCUACGGGAGGCAGCAGUGGGGAACAUUGGACAAUGGGCGAAAGCCUGAUCCAGCAAUGCCGCGUGAGUGAUGAAGGCCUUAGGGUUGUAAAGCUCUUUUACCCGGGAUGAUAAUGACAGUACCGGGAGAAGAAGCUCCGGCUAACUCCGUG
rnacentral:rRNA from 1 species